UACAGUUCUUCAGCUAGCACUCAAAGCCUCUGUGGCACUGGUUUACACAGUUGCACAGCACCAUCUUCUGGCUGAACUGAGAAAUACAAGUUUUUCUAUGAUAACAUGGAUACCAUUACACUUGUCAAUAUGGCCUGAGUAUCAUAGCAUAGUGACAUUUUUAGCAAUUUUCCCAUGGGCAUUGCUGGUCCUCUGUUUCUGAUUUUGAUACUUCACUGUAAUGCAAGCUGCCUUACCCUCCCAAGUGUUGGGGUUCCUGGGGUACACCACCAUACCCGCAAGUGUCUGUCUUGAGAUAGGGUCUUAAUUCUGACCUCAACUGGCUAGGAGAACAACCCAAAACCUAACUCAGUUCAGUGCUGAGCCAUCUUGCCAAUGCCAAUUUUGAGAUACAGACACACACACCCUUGUGUCUACACUGUCACACAGGCACAGCAUGCUGUGCUGGUCGCUGUGCCAGAGCUGUGAAUUAAAAUGCUUUUCUUUUCUAUUGAAGCAGAAUCAAGACCGGAAGCACAGAACAUAUGUUUAUGUUCUGACAGUCACUGAAAUAUUGGAAGACUGGGAAGACUCUGUUAACAUAGGGAGGAAGAGAGAGUGGUUCAAAGUGGAAGACGCAAUCAAGGUUCUUCAGUGUCACAAGCCUGUCCACGCAGAGUACCUGGAAAGGCUGAAGCUGGGGUGUUCUCCGACCAAUGGGAAUUCCACAGUCCCUUCCCUCCCAGAUAACAAUGCCUUGUUUGUGACUGCCGCACCACCCUCUGGGGUGCCAUCCAGUAUAAGAUAGAGAGCUGGGGCCCCUCCCCCACCGUGUCAUGGCACAUGUCAGAGGGAGAGAGGCUUUUUUACUUCUAACACAUCUGACUGCUGCUGGCAGACUCUAGAUUUGCCAUGCAGGGGUUUCAAAUAAUUUGCAUGUAUUUCAGAUGCUUUCAACUCUUUUAAAAUAAAUAACAAAAUAGC
rnacentral:lncRNA from 1 species